rnacentral:rRNA from 1 species
UACGUAGGGGGCUAGCGUUGUCCGGAUUUAUUGGGCGUAAAGAGCGUGUAGGCGGCCAUGUAGGUCCGUUGUGAAAACUCGAGGCUCAACCUCGAGACGCCGAUGGAAACCAUGUGGCUGGAGUGCGGCAGAGGGGGAUGGAAUUCCGCGUGUAGCAGUGAAAUGCGUAGAUAUGCGGAGGAACACCGAUGGCGAAGGCAAUCCCCUGGGCCUGCACUGACGCUCAUGCACGAAAGCGUGGGGAGCAAACAGG